GGGGAUUUAGCUCAGCGGCGUAAGCACCUGCCUGGCAAGCAUGAGGUCAUGGGUUCAAUCCCCA
rnacentral:tRNA from 1 species